UGCCAGCCGCCGCGGUAAUACGGAGGGUCCAAGCGUUAUCCGGAUUCAUUGGGUUUAAAGGGUCCGUAGGCGGGCUUUUAAGUCAGAGGUGAAAGCCUACAGCUUAACUGUAGAACUGCCUUUGAUACUGGAAGUCUUGAGUAUAGUUGAAGUGGGCGGAAUACGUCAUGUAGCGGUGAAAUGCAUAGAUAUGACGUAGAACACCGAUUGCGAAGGCAGCUCACUAAGCUAUAACUGACGCUGAGGGACGAAAGCGUGGGGAGCAAACAGGAUUAGAUA
rnacentral:rRNA from 1 species